rnacentral:rRNA from 1 species
CUAAAGACUCUCGGCAACGGAUAUCUCGGCUCUUGCAUCGAUGAAGAACGUAGCGAAAUGCGAUACUUGGUGUGAAUUGCAGAAUCCCGUGAACCAUCGAGUCUUUGAACGCAAGUUGCGCCCGAAGCCAUUAGGCCGAGGGCACGCCUGCCUGGGUGUUGCAC